rnacentral:lncRNA from 1 species
CAAAGACUGCUAAUGGUAGAAUAUGGUUGCUUUGGAAAUCACACAUCCAAAUCCAAAUAUCCUCUGUUACUGAUCAGCUCAUUCACUGCUUGUUAAAAAAUACAAGAAGCCAGGCCAGAAUUCAUCUGAGUGUUAUAUAUGCCCAUAAUACUACAAUUUUCAGGAACCAACUGUGGAAUGAUCUUAGGUCAAUCUAUAUUCCCAGUCAAG